GUAGGAGUGAGCCUGCUCGCGAUGGCGGUGUGUCAGUCGGCAAAAAUGUUGCCUGACGCGCCGCCAUCGCGAGCAGGCUCACUCCUAC
rnacentral:misc_RNA from 1 species